ACUGAGGUGGUGGAGGUUGGGCUGCGGUGGUUUAGGCUGACCUGAGGGGGUUAGGGAUGAGCUGGGGCAGUUGAGAAAGUUGAGAAAAGGCAGAAAAGGAUGCUAUGAGGCAGAACUGAGGAGUCUGAGGCCUUAAAAUUUAUCUUCCCAGUGCACGUGGCCUCCUGACCCCUCAGCAGGUACCUCACCCCCCUGCCACCUCCUCACAGUUACCUGGGCAGGAGAUCCCCAAGGGAGCACCUUCUGGAGACAAUCCAUGGAAAGCUCUCUAUGGUGAGCAGUAACUUCUUCCAGAAAAGCUGCUAAAAAGUGUUACUCUACUUCUGAUGCCACCAAGGACCCGUCUCUGCGGCACAGGCAGCCAUCCUGGGAGUCCUUGAAAAGCAGCUCUGUGCCUCUGUUCCUGUACCAGCAGUGUUGAACCUCCCUGGAGAAGGAAACCUCAGAGUUUCUGGUGCUGGGGAAGAAAUGCUUCAAGAAAAAGAAAAAUAAUCGCAGCUGCAAUGUUAAAAAUAAGAAGCUAAUCAAAGGCAGCCCAUGUGGGCGCCACUUUCAUCUCUCAUCUUCAAAGAGGUGCAAACAAACAUUGUCGGCGUGCCAAGCAGCAGCCUCAGCGCCUGAUGAUCCCAUUACUCCUCCAGCGUCCACCCUCCCUUUCCAUGCUGCUGAGCCUGUAGGCAUGGGACUCCAGGAUCACUGCCAAGGUGGGAACCUCUAGUCAUCAGAGGGGAAACCACAUAUGGAAUUUCUCUGUGGAUCCAAAUCAUUUCGUAACAAACAUACUUGUGCCUUA